UUGGCUUCUUACAUAUAUUGGCUGGUUACAUAUGUUUAUAAACAAUUGAUCAACAAUACUCAUUUUAAGAACAGGAUUCUUGACUUCAUUUAAAUUACUGUUUUGCAGUGAGUUGGCCAGGAGGACCGCAUCUCCUUGUUGAUGUAUAUGUAGAUCCAAGAGAUAAAUGGGAGGAGAGUGAUUACAACAGCAGUAGCCAACUGAAUUCUUCCACCAGCUGGAUUCCUAUAAAGACCCACAGGAAUUAUUAGCAAUAAAAAUCCAAUAAAAAUUAUGGGUUGCUUUGGAAACAAAUACAAAGGUGGAAUUAGGUGAGCACAUUUUUUUUUACAAAGUAGGCUCCAUGCCCAGCCUGGAGCCCAACGUGGGACUCAAACCCACCACCCUGAGAUAGAGACCUGCAAUCAAGUCUUGGACACAACCGACUGAGUCACCCAGAUGCAGACAAGAGUUCCAGGCACGUACCAGGAGCCUGUGCAUCCAGAGGACAAGAGUGUUCCCCACCCACUUGGGAACCACUGGUCUUUAUUCCAAGGCCCCUGAGGACUUUGAAGGCCCAUCCACUGGUUUUCAUGACCCUGAAGAAUGACCCAUCAGGACUUACAGCCCCUAUUAAUAAGAAAACGUUAGUAAACAAUGUAAAAUGUA